GAUGAACGCUAGCUACAGGCUUAACACAUGCAAGUCGAGGGACCGGCGCACGGGUGCGUAACAUGUAACCCACCCGCCCUUUACUCGGGGAUUGCCUUUAGAAAGAAAGAUUCAUACCUGAUAUCAUGGCUGGGGAUGCGUUCACAUAGGUUGUUGGUGAGGUAACGGCUCACCAAGCCUUCGAUGGAUAGGGGUUCUGAGAGGAAGGUCCCCGACAUUGGAGCUGAGGCACGGUCCAAACUACUACGGGAGGCAGCAGUGAGUAAUAGGGGUCAAUGGGCGCUAGCGUGAACCAGCCAAGUGGCUGGAAGGAUGAAGGCUUAUGGGUCGAAAAUUUCUUGUAUAUAAGAAUAUGUAUUAUAUGAAUAAGGAUCGGCUAACUACGUGCCAGCAGCCGCGGUAAUUC
rnacentral:rRNA from 1 species